GGAGUCUCGCACAGAUGCAUAUCAAUAAGCGGAGGAAAAGAAACUAACAAGGAUUCCCCUAGUAACGGCGAGUGAAGCGGGAAGAGCUCAAAUUUGAAAUCUUAAAGGGUUUCCCUUUACGAAUUGUAGUUUAAAGAAGUGUUUUCUGUUGAGGUUUUGGUAAAAGUUCUUUGGAAUAGGACAUCAUAGAGGGUGAGAAUCCCGUAUUUGACCUUUACUUUCAACUUUGUGAUACACUUUCAAAGAGUCGGAUUGUUUGGGAAUGCAGUCCAAAAUGGGUGGUAAAUUUCAUCUAAAGCUAAAUAUUGGCGAGAGACCGAUAGCGAACAAGUACCGUGAGGGAAAGAUGAAAAGAACUUUGAAAAGAGAGUUAAACAGUACGUGAAAUUGUCAAAAGGGAAGCGUUUGACACCAGUGUUGUUUUUCUGAAAAUCAAUUAAAGAACUGUUUAUGCUAAGUUGUUUAGACUUUAUCAGCUAUCUGUUUAGUUUUGAGCUUUUCCUUUAAUGCACUUUUCAGUUAACAAGUCAACAUCAAUUUCUUUUGCUGUAAAAAAGCUUGAGGAAGGUGGCUUGAGAUUCGUCUUAAGUGUUUAUAGCCUCUUGCCUAUGCAGUCGGAGAGAUUGAGGUCUGCAGCGUAGAUCCUUCGGGGCUAAAUGCAUUUGUGCUAAGUUAUAGCAUUUUAUAGACAGCUUGUUGACUAUGAUUUGUCUUGUAGCUUACUCGCUUAUGUUAUUUUACCUACGCUUAGGAUGUUGAUCUGUAGUGCGUGCGC
rnacentral:rRNA from 1 species